CUAACAAAUGUGCGAGCGUAUGUGAUAUGAAUAAAAACAUAUAUAAAUUUUUAGUUACGCGUAAUUAAUGUGAAUUUUUUGUGGAUGCGCCGGACAAUAGUGCAUUUGGUUUCUGGCUUGCAAACAAUACCGAUAAGCAAUAAGAUAAUUAAGUUUAUUUGAGUAUGAGUACAUUUGUUAGGACCCGAGAGGCUUUGAACUAAGCGUGAUGAGAUUGAAGUCAGACGAAAGUCUGAUGGAGGAUCGAGUUGAUACUGACGUGCAAAUCGUUCAUUUCAAUUGCGUUUAGGGGCGAAAGACUAAUCGAAAAGCCUAUUAGCUGG
rnacentral:ncRNA from 1 species